rnacentral:tRNA from 1 species
UACGUUUUAGUAUAUGAAGUAUAAAAAUUUUUGAUAUUUUAGGAAACAGUUUGAUUCUGUUAAAUGUAA